rnacentral:rRNA from 1 species
ACGAAGGCUUCGGCCUUAGNGGCGCACGGGUGCGUAACGCGUGGGAAUCUGCCCUCAGGUUCGGAAUAACAGCGAGAAAUUGCUGCUAAUACCGGAUGAUAUCGCGAGAUCAAAGAUUUAUCGCCUGAGGAUGAGCCCGCGUAGGAUUAGCUAGUUGGUGUGGUAAAGGCGCACCAAGGCGACGAUCCUUAGCUGGUCUGAGAGGAUGAUCAGCCACACUGGGACUGAGACACGGCCCAGACUCCUACGGGAGGCAGCAGUGGGGAAUAUUGGACAAUGGGCGAAAGCCUGAUCCAGCAAUGCCGCGUGAGUGAUGAAGGCCUUAGGGUUGUAAAGCUCUUUUACCCGGGAUGAUAAUGACAGUACCGGGAGAAUAAGCUCCGGCUAACUCCGUGCCAGCAGCCGCGGUAAUACGGAGGGAGCUAGCGUUAUUCGGAAUUACUG